CCCUUAGAUGUUCUGGGCCGCACGCGUGCUACACUGAACGGUUCAAUGGGUAAGGUAGUGCGAAAGCAUGACCUAAUCUCGAAAUCCGUUCGUGCUGGGGAUAGAAGUUUGCAAUUAUCCUUCUUGAACGAGGAAUACCUUGUAAGCGUGAGUCAUCAUCUCACGCUGAAUACGUCCCUGCCCUUUGUACACACCGCCCGUCGCUACUACCGAUUGGGAAAAUUUUAGAGAGUCCUGGACUGAUGAUUGUUCGGCUUCACGGCCUUACUUUCGUCGGGAAAGAAUUCGAUAAUAUUUUUCUAGAGGAAGUAAAAGUCGUAACA
rnacentral:rRNA from 1 species